CCUACGGGCGGCAGCAGUGAGGAAUAUUGGUCAAUGGGCGGGAGCCUGAACCAGCCAAGCCGCGUGAGGGAAGAAGGUACAGCGUAUCGUAAACCUCUUUUGACAGGGAACAAAGGCGGGGACUAGUCCCCGGAUGAGGGUACCUGAAGAAAAAGCAUCGGCUAACUCCGUGCCAGCAGCCGCGGUAAUACGGGGGAUGCGAGCGUUAUCCGGAUUGAUUGGGUUUAAAGGGUGGGCAGGCGGCCUGUUAAGUCAGCGGUAAAAGCCCGGGGCUCAACCCCGGCGAGCCGUUGAAACUGGCGGGCUGGAGUUGGAGAGAAGUACGCGGAAUGCGCGGUGUAGCGGUGAAAUGCUUAGAUAUCGCGCAGAACCCUGAUUGCGAAGGCAGCGUACCGGCUCCACACUGACGCUGAGGCACGAAGGCGUGGGUAUCGAACAGGAUUAGAUACCCGAGUAGUC
rnacentral:rRNA from 1 species